GUGGGGAAUAUUGGACAAUGGGCGAAAGCCUGAUCCAGCCAUGCCGCGUGUGUGAAGAAGGCCUUUUGGUUGUAAAGCACUUUAAGCGAGGAGGAGGCUACUUGGAUUAAUACUCUAGGAUAGUGGACGUUACUCGCAGAAUAAGCACCGGCUAACUCUGUGCCAGCAGCCGCGGUAAUACAGAGGGUGCGAGCGUUAAUCGGAUUUACUGGGCGUAAAGCGUGCGUAGGCGGCUUUUUAAGUCGGAUGUGAAAUCCCUGAGCUUAACUUAGGAAUUGCAUUCGAUACUGGGAAGCUAGAGUAUGGGAGAGGAUGGUAGAAUUCCAGGUGUAGCGGUGAAAUGCGUAGAGAUCUGGAGGAAUACCGAUGGCGAAGGCAGCCAUCUGGCCUAAUACUGACGCUGAGGUACGAAAGCAUGGGGAGCAAACAGGAUUAGAUACCCGUGUAGUCC
rnacentral:rRNA from 1 species